GGAUUGCCUCAGUAACGGCGAGUGAAGCGGCAGCAGCUCAGAUUUAAAAUCUGGCCCACCGGUGGGCCCGAGUUGUAGUCUGGAGAGGAUGCUUCGGGGGCGAGUUGGGCGGAAGUCCCUUGGGAUAGGGCGUCAGAGAGGGUGAGAAUCCCGUCUGUGGUCCAAGCUCCGUCCCCCAGGUGAAGCUCCCUCGACGAGUCGAGUUGUUUGGGAAUGCAGCUCAAACCGGGUGGUAAAUCUCAUCUAAAGCUAAAUACCGGCCAGAGACCGAUAGCGCACAAGUAGAGUGAUCGAAAGAUGAAAAGCACUUUGAAAAGAGAGUUAAACAGCACGUGAAAUUGUUGAAAGGGAAGCGCUCGCGAUCAGCCUUGCCCGUGGCCCCUCAGGUGGCAGUCCCCUGUCGCUCGCACUGGGUCACGGGCAGGCCAGCAUCGGUCCGAGGGGUGGAAGAAAGGCCCCGGGAAUGUGGCUCCCUUCGGGGUGCGUUAUAGCCCGGGGUGUGACGUCGCCCUCUGGACCGAGGCCCGCGCUCCGGCAAGGAUGCUGGCGUAAUGGUCGCCAGCGACCCGUCUUGAAACACGGACCAAGGAGUCUAACAUCCACGCGAGUGUUUGGGCGUCAAACCCCGACGCGCAAUGAAAGUGAACGGAGGUGGGACCCCGUAUAGGAGCACCAUCGACCGAUCCUGAAGUCUACGGAUGGAUUUGAGUAUGAGCGUGGCUGUUGGGACCCGAAAGAUGGUGAACUAUGCCUGAAUAGGGUGAAGCCAGAGGAAACUCUGGUGGAGGCUCGCAGCGGUUCUGACGUGCAAAUCGAUCGUCAAAUUUGGGUAUAGGGGCGAAAGACUAAUCGAACCAUUUAGUAGCUGGUUCCUGCCGAAGUUUCCCUCAGGAUAGCAGUGACGUGUGGCAGUUUUAUGAGGUAAAGCGAAUGAUUAGAGGCCUUGGGGUUGAAACAACCUUAACCUAUUCUCAAACUUUGAAUAUGUAAGAAGUCCUUGUUGCUCAGUUGAACGUGGACAUUUGAAUGUACCGUCACUAGUGGGCCAUUUUUGGUAAGCAGAACUGGCGAUGCGGGAUGAACCGAACGUGGGGUUAAGGUGCCGGAAUGCACGCUCAUCAGACACCACAAAAGGUGUUGGUUCAUCUAGACAGCAGGACGGUGGCCAUGGAAGUCGGAACCCGCUAAGGAGUGUGUAACAACUCACCUGCCGAAUGAACUAGCCCUGAAAAUGGAUGGCGCUCAAGCGUGCUACCUAUACCCCGCCGCCAGGGUAGGAACGAUGUCCUGGCGAGUAGGCAGGCGUGGGGGUCUGUGACGAAGCCUCGGGAG
rnacentral:rRNA from 1 species